GACGAACGCUGGCGGCGUGCUUAACACAUGCAAGUCGAACGGAAAGGCCCUGCUUUUGCGGGGUGCUCGAGUGGCGAACGGGUGAGUAACACGUGAGUAACCUGCCCUUGACUUUGGGAUAACUUCAGGAAACUGGGGCUAAUACCGGAUAGGAGCUCCUGCUGCAUGGUGGGGGUUGGAAAGUUUCGGCGGUUGGGGCUGGACUAGCGGCUUAUCAGCUUGUUGGUGGGGUAGUGGCUUACCAAGGCUUUGACGGGUAGCCGGCCUGAGAGGGUGACCGGCCACAUUGGGACUGAGAGAGGGCGCAGACUCCUACGGGAGGCAGUAGUGGGGAAUAUUGCACAAUGGGCGGAAGCCUGAUGCAGCAACGCCGCGUGCGGGAUGACGGCCUUCGGGUGGUAAACCGCUUUCGCCUGUGACGAAGCGUGAGUGACGGUAAUGGGUAAAGAAGCACCGGCUAACUACGUG
rnacentral:rRNA from 1 species